rnacentral:rRNA from 1 species
UACGUAGGGCGCAAGCGUUGUCCGGAAUUAUUGGGCGUAAAGCGCUCGUAGGCGGUCUGUUACGUCCGCUGUGAAAACCCAGGGCUUAACCCUGGGCUUGCAGUGGAUACGGGUAGACUAGAGGCAGGUAGGGGAGAAUGGAAUUCCCGGUGUAGCGGUGAAAUGCGCAGAUAUCGGGAGGAACACCGGUGGCGAAGGCGGUUCUCUGGGCCUGACCUGACGCUGAGGAGCGAAAGCGUGGGGAGCGAACAGG